GUCUUAUUGAUAAUAAUUUUAAGUCAAGUCUGCUCCSUGAAAUUUAAAUAGCUGCAGUAUUAAUAACUGUACUAAGGUAGCAUAAUAAAUAGUUUUUUAAUUGAAAACUUGAAUGAAUGAUUUAAUGAAAUAAAAACUGUCUUAAUUUUAGUAUUUAAAUUUUUUUUUUAAUUUAAAAAAAUUAAAUAUUUUUUAAAGACGAGAAGACCCUAAAGAAUUUUUUUAAAUUUAUUAAUAUUAUUUAAUUUAAUUAAUAUAUUUAAUUUAGUUGGGGAUACUUUAAAAUUUAAUAAAUUUUUAAUUAAUUAAACAAUAAUUUUUGAAUAAUUAAAAUUUUUUAAAAAAAUAAAUUAAAUUACCUUAGGGAUAACAGCAUUAUUUUUUUAAAAAGUUCAAAUUUAUAAAAAAGUUUAU
rnacentral:rRNA from 1 species